UACGGGGGGUGCGAGCGUUGCUCGGAAUCACUGGGCGUAAAGGGCGCGUAGGCGGCGUGUCAAGUCAGGCGUGAAAGCCCCGGGCUCAACCUGGGAACCGCGCUUGAGACUGGCAUGCUCGAGUUCGGGAGAGGAUGGUGGAAUUCCCAGUGUAGAGGUGAAAUUCGUAGAUAUUGGGAAGAACACCGAUGGCGAAGGCAGCCAUCUGGACCGACACUGACGCUGAGGCGCGAAAGCUAGGGGAGCGAACGGG
rnacentral:rRNA from 1 species